rnacentral:lncRNA from 12 species
AUGUUUCCAUUCUUGCUGUUCCAGCAGGAGGAGUUUUCUGGUUCUCUGCUCUUUCAUGAAGAGGUUUACAGUGGAGGAGGGGAAGCAGUCUCGGAUCUUCCAGGUAAAAAUGUAAGUUCCAGCUCUCCUAAUUACCAUCCCCUGAAAGCGAUAGGCCAGUGGGUUUCAGGCCAUCUUCUAAGUCUACAUUCUAGUUCCCGUUCCAACGGUGAGGUCCCAGGAAUUGAAGGAAUAGGUCCGAAGAAAGGUCAGAGUUUUCCUGUUGGUUAGAGGCACUGAUUUUUCUGUCUUAGCUCAGCCUUUUCUCUCAAAAGCAAAGUGUGAUUUAUCAGACAGGGAUUGUUUGACUGUUUGUUUGAUGGGCAUCCUCUGCAAGACAUUUAUAUUAAAUAUAUUUAACCUAAUCUAAACAGAAAAAUGGCAUUUAAAAUUCACAUUGAGCUUUUUAAGGAAGCACUUCUUGUGUGUGUUUAUGUCGUUUUGCUUGUUUGUUUGUUUCCUCUCAACAAUUCUGAGAGGGAAAUAGGAUAGUGGGUUGUUAUUUUUUAGAUGUGAAAAGCAAAGUCUAAGGGAAUGAAUGACUUCCCAAGGUCACACAGUGAGUUAGAAGCAAGCUGGAAUCCCAAUUGUCUUAACAUCAGGGCUGCUUUACAAAAAUUGUUUUAUCACACCCACCUGAUGGUCACUCAAGUUCAUGUUCUAGCCUAAAGAGCAUAUUGUUCUAGAUGAACAUUCCAGGUGAUAGUAAAAGACCCCUAGUUCAGUCUGCCCCAGACCUUGAGCACACUCUAGGUGAAAUUAGAGGAAACUGUGCAAAGGAAAAUUUAAACUUGAAGAAUUCAAAUUCCGCUGGGAGAGAUCUGAGCGGGGGGAUAAUCAAACCCACCCCUUCAUUUUCUAGACAAGGAGCCUGAAGUCUAUGGUGGGGGGAGUGGAGAGUGCUUUGGGUUCACUCCCAGCUUUAGACAGAAACCUCAUAGCCUCCCAGGGCAGGAGAAGAGGGUUAUAAUCCAGAACAUGAAGCUACAAUAACUGAAAAGGAAAUCUUUGCAGUCCUCAUCCAAAUGUUUUGUGCAGAUUUGCUUUGCAUCCUUAUGUGGUUCUUGAGGCAGAGAUGCAAAUGUCUUGAGUCAUACCAAGUUUCUUGUCCAUUUUGAAGACUAACUUAUGCACAUUUGCUGAUUCCUCAUGUAGUUAAUCUGAUUCCUUUCUUAAGAUCUCUGAAAACUCCAGGUCAGCAAUUCAUUGAUCUACUCUGUCCCUGAACAUC